rnacentral:rRNA from 1 species
UACGUAGGUGGCAAGCGUUGUCCGGAUUUACUGGGCGUAAAGAGCGCGCAGGCGGUCGGAUAAGUCGAGUGUGAAAGCCCCUGGCUCAACCAGGGAGGGUCACUCGAUACUGUUCGACUCGAAGGCAGGAGAGGGAAGUGGAAUUCCGGGUGUAGUGGUGAAAUGCGUAGAUAUCAGGAGGAACACCGGUGGCGAAGGCGGUUCUCUGGGCAUUACCUGACGCUGAGGAGCGAAAGUGUGGGGAGCGAACAGG